UAUAAUAACAACGGUUAUCCUGAGACAGCAGGCGUCGGAAGACUUAAUAUCCUGCCGAGGACGACAGAAAACAUGGUUGCCCUAUCCAAGAUUUGAGCGGGCAAAUCAAGUGAGUAUGAAAAUGAAGUCCUCGUGCUACGGCACCAGGACUUUUUUGUUGGGCGU
rfam:Chloroflexi bacterium RBG_16_51_9 RBG_16_scaffold_4344, whole genome shotgun sequence.